GAUGAACGCUGGCGGCGUGCUUAACACAUGCAAGUCGAACGGAAAGGCCCCUGCUUGCCGGGGGACUCGAGUGGCGAACGGGUGAGUAACACGUGGGUGAUCUGCCCUGCACUUCGGGAUAAGCCUGGGAAACUGGGUCUAAUACCGGAUAGGGCCACAUUUUGGAUGGUGUGGUGGAAAGUUUUUCGGUGUGGGAUGAGCUCGCGGCCUAUCAGCUUGUUGGUGGGGUAAUGGCCUACCAAGGCGUCGACGGGUAGCCGGCCUGAGAGGGUGUACGGCCACAUUGGGACUGAGAUACGGCCCAGACUCCUACGGGAGGCAGCAGUGGGGAAUAUUGCACAAUGGGCGCAAGCCUGAUGCAGCGACGCCGCGUGGGGGAUGACGGCCUUCGGGUUGUAAACUCCUUUCGCUAGGGACGAAGCGUUUUUGUGACGGUACCUGGAGAAGAAGCACCGGCUAACUACGUG
rnacentral:rRNA from 1 species